UACGAAGGGGGCUAGCGUUGCUCGGAAUCACUGGGCGUAAAGCGCACGUAGGCGGAUCUUUAAGUCAGGGGUGAAAUCCCGGAGCUCAACUCCGGAACUGCCUCUGAUACUGAAGGUCUUUGAGUUCGGGAGAGGUGAGUGGAACUGCGAGUGUAGAGGUGAAAUUCGUAGAUAUUCGCAAGAACACCAGUGGCGAAGGCGGCUCACUGGCCCGAUACUGACGCUGAGGUGCGAAAGCGUGGGGAGCAAACAGG
rnacentral:rRNA from 1 species